UACAGAGGGGGCAAGCGUUGUUCGGAAUUACUGGGCGUAAAGGGCGCGUAGGCGGCCACUGCAAGUCGGUUGUGAAAUCUCCGGGCUUAACCCGGAAAGGUCAACCGAUACUGCAGGGCUAGAGUGCAGAAGGGGCAACUGGAAUUCCUGGUGUAGCGGUGAAAUGCGCAGAUAUCAGGAGGAACACCGGUGGCGAAGGCGGGUCUCUGGGCCGUAACUGACGCUGAGGAGCGAAAGCGUGGGGAGCGAACAGG
rnacentral:rRNA from 1 species